GCUGGUAACAGUCCGCGGCACGGUAAACUCCACCCGGAGCAAGGCCAAAUAGGGGUUCAUAAGGUACGGCCCGUACUGAACCCGGGUAGGCUGCUUGAGCCAGUGAGCGAUUGCUGGCCUAGAUGAAUGACUGUCCACGACAGAACCCGGCUUAUCGGUCAGUUUCACCU
rnacentral:RNase_P_RNA from 1 species